GAGAUUGUGUGAGCUGCAGUGAUGCUCCUCUUCAUCUGUUUUCCUUUGUCUUUGUGACUUUCUGUGUUGCAAUAAGCAUCUUGUGAAAUGUCCUGGCGGGGAAAUGAUGAAAAUUCCCCAAUCUCCAUGUGCUGUGGGGUACACCAGGGUGGGAGGUGGCCUGUUCAGCAGGAAGGCUGUUUCUGGCCAAACUGGUAACCGGGACACUUGGAGAAGUGCGAUCCUCUUGCAGAGAUGAUGAGUGGCCAAGGGAGAGUCACUGCUGGAAGUGCAGCCCCAGCAGAAAGGAGAAACUGCACCUGGCUGAACACCUGGGUCUUCCUUAUUUUUGCCCUUCCAAUCAAAGCUGUCUUCGUGACCAUCUGCCUUGUGGCUUUACUUGAUGGAAGCUCUGGCCAUUACAAGAUUAUCCUCCAGAACUCUACAGAGUGGUAUUGUGUCCCCAGCAGUUCUGCAGAGAAAGUGGAUGGCUGGACGUGCUGCCCAAAGGGCUGGAGAAGGUUUCAAAGAAGCUGCUAUUUCCUGUCCCCUGACACGAUGUCAUGGUCUGAGAGUGAGCAGAACUGCAGUGGGAUGGGCUCCCAGCUGGUGGUGAUCAGCAGCAAGGUAGAGCAGGAGUUCCUCUUCAACUUGGCAAAAGAAAAAGCUACCAACAUCUAUGAAACAAAAUUCUACAUAGGCUUAUCUGCUUACAAAAAUAGGAAGUGGCAAUGGGUGGAUCAGACUCCAUAUGAGAAUACAGUCACGCUUUUGGACAAUCUGCUGGUUUCCUGGAAAUGCCUCAGCUGAUCAUGAGCACUUCAGCACCAUCUCCUGUUCACAGCAAGUCACCUGCACUCUCUCAGUGUCACUGUGAUCUACCUUCAUGAGAUCAGGAGGAGAUGCAGAGUGCCUGACUCUGUCACUGCAGUCCCUUGUGGUACAUCAAUGACUCUACAUCAAGAUGUGCCUCAUCACAAUGGGCCUGCCUGGCAACCAGUGGAAUAUGUGUGACCUUGGUCACCACCACAGGACCCAACACUGACCUGAGGACUGAUUUCCGUGCUUUACCUCAGACCUUCCUCAUCCCUGGAGACUUGUCCAACCAUCUAGACCCUGGAUGCUGUGCCAGGUGUGCCCUGCUUGCCCCACUCAGGUGUAGUGGCUGGUCCCCAGCUGUCCUACUGCAGCUGGCUCCUGGCCACCGACCCUCGGGGAGCAGCCGCCUCCACUGUGCCCUCACAGUGUCUGUUGUACUACAAAGCAAAUCAGGAACUGGAAUUCAUUUUAUUUUGUUGGUUUUUUUGGGGAAGGCAGAUUCUUGUCAGUUUGUUUUAGUAAAGUAGCUCUUUACUAUUGAAUAUUAUGUAAAUAUGGAAUAUUAUUCCACAGCUCACUUGAGCUUUGGGUAGAAUUUGCUGCUGAUGGCCACCUUCUUCACUGUAUUUAUCAUCACUUUGAUUCCAAUUUUGCUGUUUUUCAUGCUGUUUGUAAAAAGCCUCUUUUUUUAGAAAAGACAAAGUUACUGCACUCCUUAACAUCUUCCAUGAGCUCCUCAGUAUUGCUGACAACCAUAAUCAGCUUUAAAAGUCAUGUUCCAGUAGCUUUUCAUAUAAUUUAGAUUAUCUUUGGUUCUUUUUCCUUCAGGGACAAUUCAACAGGCUAAACUGGUUCCUCAUAGCUUCAAAGUAGUGCAGGAGGGAUACAGAGCCAUUCACAUCCUUGAAGUGGUGCUACAGUCCACUUGUUUUAGCAAGUCUGAGAGAAGCUGGAAGAGUUUUGUAUGUUGGGUUCCACCACAGGCCACGCAGUACUGCUUGAAUCUGUGCACAGGAUCUGCAGUGUCUGUGCAAAUCUUUUUAUCUUAUGAGAUUAUGGGUUAUCUUAUAGGUUAUAUAGGUUAUCUUAUGAGAGAGAACCACAUAAAUCAAUCCAGAAGAAACUGAUCGGUAAUCUCAACAAAAUUGUUGCAGAACCACUGACAGAUUACAACUUUACUGUUGGAUUCAGAGCCAUAUGAGGCCAGAUGUGAUGGUUGAUGAAUAAAAUCCUUCUGACAGAAAGACAUGUUUGGAGAAGCAAAUGCAGUAUGGAAACACAACA